UACGUAGGGUGCAAGCGUUAAUCGGAAUUACUGGGCGUAAAGCGCACGUAGGCGGCUUUGUAAGUUAGAGGUGAAAGCCCGGGGCUCAACUCCGGAACUGCCUUUAAGACUGCAUCGCUUGAAUCAUGGAGAGGUCAGUGGAAUUCCGAGUGUAGAGGUGAAAUUCGUAGAUAUUCGGAAGAACACCAGUGGCGAAGGCGACUGACUGGACAUGUAUUGACGCUGAGGUGCGAAAGCGUGGGGAGCAAACAGG
rnacentral:rRNA from 1 species